UACAGAGGUCCCAAGCGUUGUUCGGAUUCACUGGGCGUAAAGGGUGUGUAGGCGGUUGGGUAAGUCUGAUGUGAAAUCUCACAGCUUAACUGUGAAACUGCAUUGGAUACUAUCCGGCUAGAGGAAUGGAGGGGAGACUGGAAUACUUGGUGUAGCAGUGAAAUGCGUAGAUAUCAAGUGGAACACCAGUGGCGAAGGCGAGUCUCUGGACAUUUCCUGACGCUGAGGCACGAAAGCCAGGGGAGCAAACGGG
rnacentral:rRNA from 1 species